AAAUUGAAGAGUUUGAUCAUGGCUCAGAUUGAACGCUGGCGGCAGGCCUAACACAUGCAAGUCGAGCGGUAACACAGGGAGCUUGCUCCUGGGUGACGAGCGGCGGACGGGUGAGUAAUGUCUGGGAAACUGCCUGAUGGAGGGGGAUAACUACUGGAAACGGUAGCUAAUACCGCAUAACGUCGCAAGACCAAAGAGGGGGACCUUCGGGCCUCUUGCCAUCAGAUGUGCCCAGAUGGGAUUAG
rnacentral:rRNA from 1 species